CUCCAGGUCGCCAAGUGGGAAGGCGUUGGUCUGCAAAACCAACUAUUCGCGGGUUCAAUUCCCGCCCUGGAGUCCA
rnacentral:tRNA from 2 species